UCACUCUGCCUGCGCUGUCAAAACAUUCCAUUCGUGUUGGUGGAACCGCGUACGACGGGAGCUGCGUUUAAUUGUUUUGAACGCUCGUUUGUGUGUUUGUGCGCCUCGUGUUCGAUUGUUUGUGCGCGGUUGUGUGUGCCUGUUUGUAUGUGUGUGCAGUGUACGUGUGCACCUCAUCCCGGUGUAGUGUGUUUUGGAGCAAAUGCGAUGCACCUCUUCCUUAGCACGCCAGAAAAGUGUCGCGGAAAAAGCAAUACCACACCAAAAGUGUGCAAAAUGUGAAAAUUGAAAACAAGGUGGUGAAAUCUGAGUGGCAGCAGUAGUGUUGACAAGCCAGAUCGGGGAGAAGAAACUCCCGCCAAAGGAAAACGAAAAGAAAAGUGAAAAGUGUAGAAAAGUGAAACCAAUAUGCUGCUGCUCCCAAAUAUUUCAACGUCAACCAAUCGUACCCAAAACACGAGCCUGCUGGUGGUGUGGUGAAGUAGUCAGCACAGGGUGGCCGAAAAUUGUGGAGUAGUGUAAGAAAAAAUAAGAGUAAGAAGAAGAAAGGAAAUCAUCUCAAUCGGGAGAAAAGUCGUUAAGAUUUGCUUGACACCGACCAGCCACCAAAUGGAGGAGAAAUAGCAGCAGUAGCAGCAGUAGGAUCGUUUGCGAUUGCAGCAGCUGUCGAUCGCGCCAGGUACGAAGUGAGUGCGAGGUGCUCCGUUUGAAGGGUGAAAUGUGUGUGUGAGUGGUUCAAAUGUGUAAUCCCCCAAAACAACAAAUACAGAAAGGAGAAAAGAGAGAAAAAAAAGCAGUUUGGUUACGGCAGACGCGCAUCUAACCUUGGCCAGCCCAGCCACCAGCGCCAGAGUGCUUUUGGGGCGAGUGUGUGUGUGAGUGAGUCAGUUAAGUGUGUAAAUAAAGGUCCGGGUUUCGAUGAUCGCGACUCGAAAGUAGUGAAAUCGGAAGAAAGAAAGUGAAGUGACGCAGCGACUGCAGCGACGUUUUCAGUUUGUGUCCCCCAUGGUUUGUGUGUGCGUAUGUACAUGUGUGUCUGUUUGUGAAAUAUAUUUCUUUAAAGUGUGGAAGUAAAUGUUUCCUUAGUGUUAGAGAUACAUGCAAAUGGUAGCAGUGGAUGUGUACUACGUGUAAGAAAGCAGUAAAAUACGGAAACGAGUGAUUACAGUGCUAAAACAUACGAAAGCAAAUCGAGCUAGAGUGUGCAACAUAGAGUAAGAAAACAGAUAACCAUCGUGUUGUGUUCGCUUGGUAGCUGAAGUAGCAGUAGCAGCAGCAGUAAACCACCAACUCAAAAAGCAAUUCUUCAAGACUAUGUUUUAGCUGAAUAGUAUUUCCCAUAUUUCUCGCUGAGUACAUCGGUCACCGCUAACCAGAACACACCACUGCAGGUAUGCAGCAGACAAUCUUUGUUGGCUUCAGUUGUAAACGUUUCGAGAAUGAAAUUAAAAACGCAGACAAUCUUCACGUCAUCACAUAAUAUUUCGUGAAUCUCAGCGAAUCUUCCUCCACACGACGGUGUCAUGUCCCGCGUAACGAUGAUCCCGAAGAGAUGUGCCGCAAAUAUAAACGCCUAUCGAAGCAGCACGUUGGUCAGCUUGCGGCUUGACCGUGUCCUCAAUCCGGGCUGCAUAUGAACGUCUCUAGCGUUAUGAGACAACUUCUGUAGCGCAACAGGGGGUACAGAACAACGGUCAAACCAGUAAAGGCCGAUAGUCUUAACGACGUGCAAUAGAAGAAAAGAGGAGAAACUUUAGCCCGUAGCUUCCAGAAUCAUUGUAAUACUAUUUAAUACACAAUCAAGCUCCAGACUCCUCGCGAGAAAGUUUUGGGGAAAAACUGUACAGAGUAGAAAGGAAUGAAUCUCCGCCAAUUCUGUUACGAAUAAAGACACUAACCGCAAAGAGUGCUUGUGCGAAAGUGUCCAGAAAACUCUAAGAAUCUCUGCAAUCGAAUAGAGAUCGUUCGGCUCGAUCGGAAGCAAACGACAUCGAAUCUCAACCGCUUCGUUGAGCGACAUCCAGCAAAACGCUUUUAAAACAGUCCUUUCUUCUUCCUUACCCCUUCCCGGUUGGUCAUGUACCGUGUAAACAUUGUCAGCACAAAUCCGAGUGUGUCAGCGAGCAGCAGCAGUGGAACGAGUGGAACGAGUGGAACGAGUGCGGGCAGCGUGAUCCUUCAGCAAGCGCCGCAAAUCCUCAGCAUCGCCGGCGGCAGCACGACGAUCCUGGCUGGACAAUCGGGAACGACGACGGCCCUGCCCAUCGGCACGAUAGUCAGCAUCCAGCAGCCGCACCAGCCCCAGCAGCAGCAGCAGCAGCAGACGGCCCGGCAACAGACGGCCACUACACCCGCGACCGCGACGAUCAUCGGCUUGAGUGCCAGUACGCUCAGUGCACUGAAUGCGGCAACGGCGGUCGGUACGGGUGGUGGGGCCACGAUAGCGAGCGGUGGUGCGACGAUCACACCCGUGAUAGGUAGCGGUGGUGCCGGUGGAGCGACAGUCGUCGCCAACCAGCUGCUAAAGGUGGCCGGCGGCAACAACAACAGCAUCAGCAUCCUGAAGAUCGGUGAUGACAUCAUGCUGAAGGCGGUGAAAGUAGAACCCCUGCCCAGUGAUACGGGCGGUGGAGGGGGUGGUGGUGGCGGCGGCGGCGGAGGAGGAGUAGUGGCAACCCCCACCGGAAGUAGUACGAGUGUCACUGCCAACACCGUUACCGUGACGACCAUUCCUCCCGCGAAUGGUGGCGGACAUGUUGUCUUUGGUGGCAAGCGGAGGCACGAAAGCAACGAAGAAUGGAUAUCCUCACCUAGUCCUGGAAGUGUGCAAGGAUCGGCCCCGCCACUGAGCCCCUCGCCCGGCUCGCAAAGUCACACCUACACCAACACGAUGUCGAACGGCUACUCGUCACCGUUGUCCAGCGGCAGCUACGAUCCGUACAGUCCAAAUGGCAAAAUGGGUAAGCGUACAACUGUUUUCUACAUUUUCUUCACGAUGCGCUUGGUAUGUUGUAAAAGUUGUAAAUGUUUUCUAUGUUUUACAUUAUAUUCUGUCAAUUCUUAAUAUUCAAAAGUGAAAUUUAUUCUUUCUCUAUUUAUUUCAAACUGUCAACAUAAAACUCGAAUUUUCUUAGAACUCUUCUUGUUGAACUUUGAAGUACGCUUAUGCUUGAUGCGCUUAUGAAGAGCAUCGUUAAGGUUAUGGAUGAAAUACAUUCCAUCUACUCCAUCUUCCGGCUCACCCCUAUCAUCGCUUCGGGGUGGAAAUGGUUUUCCAUUUUCCUGUCACAAAACUCCCCUUUUGGCUGAUCCAAUUCACCACAUUCCGCACACACAUACACGUAUAGAAAAAAGAGAGCAAAAAAAAGAACUAGAAAAUACACCAUCUCCCCCCGGUUUUCUCUCCUUGUCAUUGCAUCAAAUGUCAUUCCUUCGCAAUCCAGUGCACUCCUCGGCGCAUCACGUUUCCCGGGUUGGCACAGUUCAUUGGAGUUUAUUUCCUCCCUUGUUCUCCACCAGACACCAUCACACACACACACGCACACACAAACGUUCCCGGGGUCUGCUGCCCUGCUGCUGGCCCGUCGUCUGUGGGUUAGUUUUCAACUAGUUUUUCCCUUUGUUCGCCACCACCAGCUCGCCGCGUCGCCGUCCCAUCACGUGCCACAACAUGCACAGGGCGCUGGGGCCGCGCGGUCGCUGCAAUGACGUUGGAUGCAUUUCCCUCCCUCCCCCCCCUCCCUGUGCGUUUCCGUUCGUGAAUGGGGUUUUAUGUGGACCUGGUGGUGGAGCGGUUGUGAACGUUUCUGUCGCUUUUUUCUCUUGCUGCUGCUGCUCUAUGUAUACCUUCCACUAUGCUCUUCACCAUGACACUGGCAUACAUAGCGUGUCGGCGUGUCGGCGGCUGCAUAGAGCUGUGUUUGUGUGUAGGUCAGUGGUAGCUUCAACGUUUGCCGGCGCCCUGCUGCUGCUGCUGCACUUCGGAGCACUUUUUCUCGACUCUCUAACCCUUUAUUUUUUCGCCGUACGCCGGCACACGGGGAGGACACGGGGAAGGCGGUUACGACAUCGGGGCGAUAUCGGGGCUAAGCUGGAAAGGAAGGAAAGUUUUCUACGGCCGCACAGCGGUGGGUUUCUUGGGUGUGAAUUUUCGUCCUCCGUUGUGCAGCGUCUAAAAAUGCAUGUCAAACGCAUUGUAAGAGAAAAAGGAAAUUAUGAGAUGUUAGACUUAAUAUUUGUAUUUUUUUUAUAUCAUAGAAGUUUAUAUUAUGAUUUAUAUAAAAGGAAGAAACCCCAAUUGAAAAUACUUAAAUCCAAAAUACCAUUAAAUCAAAAUUGUAAAACAGCAACAUUAUCGCCACAGUUGCUUAGAAAUUAUGCGCUUUUAUGUGUGUUGCAACGAGAGGAACAAGAAAACGGAAAACGGCUCGUGAGUGAAAGGGAGAGCGUCGUCGAGCACAAAAAAAACCUCGCUGCAUUUGUGUGCGUGCGACGGUCACUCACAGAGCGUGAGAUGAAAGUGAGUUUAGAGCGUGAGGUGAGAAAGUGAGUCUCGCAUGAGACGACUCGGCAAGUACGGCUGUAUAGGUGGAAAUAGUAAAUGCUGCACACUGGGUUGAAUGGAUUGGACAAAAUGUUGUAAUGAAAUUUGUUGAAUUUUGAAGCUGAAGCUGCUUUAUAUGUUUGAAUAAGUUUAUUUGGUUUUUGAUGAUAACAUAGUUCAUCCAAAUCGAAGCAUUAUUUUGGGUACUUGAUAAACUGAUUCAUCUCUUCACUUACGCUGCCUACUUAAUCUGUUUCAUAUUAAACAAAAACAAUUAAAAAGACAAAUAUAAAAACGCUUCAAUAAAAUCAAACUUAAUUUUCAAAUGGCUUUUUGGUCAAAUAUGGUAAACUGCACCGUGCUCACUGUGCGCCGCGCGCACUCACGUACACGCACACACCGCCGAACCGCCUGGGUGAGUUGCUUCGAGUGAGCGGCUCUCACCGUGUGCGGCUUUUGGGCAGCGAUGUACCGACCGGCGGCCUCGAACGGUGCUAGUGCACGACCAGUCACUCAGUACCCUUCUGUACCUCGGUGAAUAGCGUUCGAAACGUACGUACGUACGUGUGCUGCAGCGCGCCCGUGAACGGCAAGCUUUCUGUUCGAGCUGUUCGUCGAGACGCGCACACACAACACAACCGCACGCGCGGCGCUCUUAUACACGGAAACAACAAACCGCCGGGGCCCGGCGUUGUUUUUCGACGCAGAAAACGGCAGGGCCGCGUGUGUCGUGCGACGCCUCUUUGCCUUCCAAAUCGAGCGAGCCCCGCAGAGUGCGUGUUUUUUUUGUAAAAUAUUAGUGACCCGAUAGAAAGAAGGUGUGUUAGUUAAAAUUGUGUGCUGCAGGAUUAUGAUCAGUUUGAUUCCGCACGGCAUCGGGUGAAGUGUUGGGAGUUGAAUUCAGCAAAAAAAAAACAAAAGUGAAAAUAGAAACAAAGUUUCUAGAAAAGUAGAUUAACAAAAACAAACUUCCAGUGCUGUAAAGUUUAAACGGGAAGAAACCCAAAACGCGCAACAAACGAUCCUGUAUGCGGUUGUGAAUAUCGGGAGUGCGUGUCCCGUUCCGUGCAACAUCAGCGUGUCCGGAAGGGACAGCAUGAAACAGUUCGGGAAGUGCAGUUAUUAUUCAGCAUCAUCAGCAGCAGCAGUAGUUGUACAGCCAACCAAUCAGAAUCAUACGGUACAGCUGCCUCCAGGUGGUCCGGAACGCCAGCACGGUGCAAUCUGUGACGCCGUCCGUUUCGUGCGGUGAUCCAACGCUUCCCAGAGCAGCUCCAGAGAACAUGGCCAUCGCCUGCUGUGUCGACCGAAGUUAAGUGAUUCGUGGCAAACGUGCGUGUAUGUGUGUGUAAAUUAUUUUCCUACUGCGUAGUAGGCUCUGGGAUCUAUUUCAGCAGUAGUGGAGCCAAACGAGCGAAGAGUCUAUUAAACAAAGUGAAAAUACAUCUCUGGAAUAAAAAGGCUUGGAAGAGUGUGAAAUAUAAUCAGAAGUAGUGAUAUCCAAGGAGAUUCUUGUAAUAUAAAGUGAAGUGUCGGGAGAGAGCAUUCUGAAGACAAGUGUACAAGUGAAGACAACGACCUGGUUCGACUGUUUGGCCUUUGCAUUGCAGCGGGAGGGUUUCUGGGCGGCAUCUUU